CCUACGGGGGCAGCAGUGAGGAAUAUUGGUCAAUGGACGAGAGUCUGAACCAGCCAAGUAGCGUGAAGGAUGACUGCCCUAUGGGUUGUAAACUUCUUUUAUAAAGGAAUAAAACGAGGCACGUGUGCCUUUUUGCAUGUACUUUAUGAAUAAGGAUCGGCUAACUCCGUGCCAGUAGCCGCGGUAAUACGGAGGAUCCGAGCGUUAUCCGGAUUUUUUGGGUUUAAAGGGAGCGUAGAUGGGUUGUUAAGUCAGUUGUGAAAGUUUGCGGGUCAACCGUAAAAUUGCAAUUGAUACUGGCAGUCUUGAGUACAGUUGAGGUAAGCGGAAUUCGUGGUGUAGCGGUGAAAUGCUUAGAUAUCACGAAGAACCCCGAUUGCGAAGGCAGCUUACUAAACUGUGACUGACAUUGAUGCUCGAAAGUGUGGGUAUCAAACAGGAUUAGAUACCCCUGUAGUC
rnacentral:rRNA from 1 species